rnacentral:rRNA from 1 species
UACGUAGGGUGCAAGCGUUAUUCGGAAUUAUUGGGCGUAAAGAGCUCGUAGGCGGUUUGUCGCGUCUGCUGUGAAAACUGGAGGCUCAACCUCCAGCCUGCAGUGGGUACGGGCAGACUAGAGUGCGGUAGGGGAGAUUGGAAUUCCUGGUGUAGCGGUGGAAUGCGCAGAUAUCAGGAGGAACACCGAUGGCGAAGGCAGAUCUCUGGGCCGUAACUGACGCUGAGGAGCGAAAGCAUGGGGAGCGAACAGG